rnacentral:rRNA from 1 species
UACAGAGGGGGCAAGCGUUGUUCGGAAUUACUGGGCGUAAAGGGCGCGUAGGCGGCCUUCUAAGUCGAACGUGAAAUCCCCGGGCUCAACCCGGGAACUGCGUCCGAGACUGGAGGGCUUGAAUCCGGGAGAGGGAUGUGGAAUUCCAGGUGUAGCGGUGAAAUGCGUAGAUAUCUGGAGGAACACCGGUGGCGAAGGCGGCAUCCUGGACCGGUAUUGACGCUGAGGCGCGAAAGCCAGGGGAGCAAACGGG